rnacentral:rRNA from 1 species
UACGUAGGGGGCAAGCGUUGUUCCGGAAUCAUUGGGCGUAAAGCGCGUGUAGGCGGCUCGAUAAGUCUGCGUGUGAAAGUCCAGGCUCAACCCUGGGAUGCCGGUGGAUACUGUCGAGCUCGAGUCCGGAAGAGGCGAAGUGGAAUUCCCGGUGUAGGCGGUGAAAUCGUAGAUAUUCGGAAGAACACCGAGUGGCGAAGGCG